GACGAACGCUGGCGGCGUGCCUAAUACAUGCAAGUCGAGCGAAUGGAUUAAGAGCUUGCUCUUAUGAAGUUAGCGGCGGACGGGUGAGUAACACGUGGGUAACCUGCCCAUAAGACUGGGAUAACUCCGGGAAACCGGGGCUAAUACCGGAUAACAUUUUGAACCGCAUGGUUCGAAAUUGAAAGGCGGCUUCGGCGGUCACUUAUGGAUGGACCCGCGUCGCAUUAGCUAGUUGGUGAGGUAACGGCUCACCAAGGCAACGAUGCGUAGCCGAGCUGGGAGGGUGAUCGGCCGCACUGGGACCGAGACACGGCCCAGACUCCUACGGGAGGCAGCAGUAGGGAAUCUUCCGCAAUGGACGAAAGUCUGAGGGAGCAACGCCGCGUGAGUGAUGAAGGCUUUCGGGUCGUAAAACUCUGUUGUUAGGGAAGAACAAGUGCUAGUUGAAUAAGCUGGCACCUUGACGGUACCUAACCAGAAAGCCACGGCUAACUACGUGCCAGCCGCCGCAGUAA
rnacentral:rRNA from 1 species